UGAGCAACCUGCCCUUGACUCUGGAAUAACAGUUGGAAACAGCUGCUAAUACCGGAUACGACCUCCGACGGCAUCAUCUGGAGGUGGAAAGCUCCGACGGUCAAGGAUGGGCUCGCGGCCUAUCAGCUUGUUGGUGAGGUAACGGCUCACCAAGGCGACGACGGGUAGCUGGUCUGAGAGGAUGGCCAGCCACAUUGGGACUGAGACACGGCCCAGAUCCUACGGG
rnacentral:rRNA from 1 species